CUUCCUGCUUCCUUCCUGUCCUUUUACCUUUUUCGAGGCUUCGCCCCUAGAGCCAUGGGACUCUGGUGUGGACCGGUUUUCUGUGAGAUUUUGAUCCUUCUCACAAGAUCCUAUCUAAGCCUGUGUCUGGAACAGCCUGUCAUCGACCUCGCCCUCUAUCGCUCAGCGACCUAAAUGGAGGCCCCAGGACUGAAUGCGUAGGUGACCUGUGUGGCGCGGGCCGGGCGGGGCCUUUUCGUCCUUGAAAAACCUGGUAUACUUUUUGACUGCUGUUUGGAAGAAUAGCCCUGUUCUCGCCCUGUCAUCUUACAAAUAUAGAAAAAGACCUAAAAGAGAAGUUGGCAGCUGCACCCUCAGUCGUUACUGAGUGGUUACUAGUACCAGGCUCUUUGAUAAUCGCUUGUUAGGGGUUAUCCCAUUUUACAGGUAAAGACUCAAACUAUCAGUAAUUUGCUAUUGUCAAACGUCAGAUGAACAGUUCAUAUUUGACCAAGAUCACAUAAUAGAUGGGGAAUUGGAACCUUCCAUGACUGGCUUCAAAUUAAUGUAGUCUUUGUAGUUACUUACAUAAUAAUGAUCAAAGCAAUUUUGCUAUGUAGAGUGGGUAAACUCACUGAGGGAGGAAAGCAACACAUGAAAAAUGUGAGGCAAUAUGGCAGGAAAGAUCAGCAAAGAAAACAAGUAAAAAAACAGUAAAAAUGUAGAAGAAAAGAGAAUCAUACCAUCACACAAAGCAAAAGAAGAUAUUUUCAAAGAAUAGGGGAGUAAGAAGGAUCAAAAGACUUAAGAAAAACAUUGAUUCGGGCAGAGUCAUUGAUAUAUUCAGGAGAGCAAUUUUAAUAAAAUGAUCAAGAUGCAAAAACCAGAUUGCACAGGAUUUCAAGCCGAAUUCCAGGGAGAUUGCUUUGUAUUUUCCAGAUCAAAAUUGGAAGCUUUAAAAACAAAAAUUACAUUAAGUGCAGGACACAGCAAAGGUUCCUGCAACUCGUUUUUUACAAUGUUCAACAUAAUGUUCAAAGGAUUUUCAACUGGUGUCUUGCUGGGAGAUGGUGUACAAUCAAAUGAAGAUGUCUACAAAAUGAAAAUGCCUAUGAGUACUGAUGAAAAGUUCUAAGUUACCACAUGAAAGGACAUACGGUUUUCUAUGACCCUUGUCUGAGCAAAGACAUACAACAAAUUAACACACAUGCUUUCUUACAAGACAUGCCACAAAGGCAGUCAAUUAAUAAAAAAUGCAACAUUCAGUACAUUUCAGCAAGUAGCCAUGACACUUAAGAGCUGAGUUACAAGUAUAUACACCAAAAGAAAUUGAUUAGAAAAGCUUUUAUAUGUAAACCCUGCAGAAAUGGCAACCCUUAGAAAUAUUCUGAGUUUUCUGUCAUAA